CAGCAGCCGCAGUAAUACCGGCGGCCCGAGUGGCGGUCACUAUUAUUGGGCUUAAAGCGUCCGUAGCCGGGUUGGGAAGUCCUCCGGGAAAUCUGGCCGCUUAACGGUCAGAAUGCCGGAGGAUACUCCCAGCCUAGGGAGCGGGAGAGGCCGAGGGUAUUCCCGGGGUAGGGGUGAAAUCCUAUAAUCCCGGGAGGGCCACCUGUGGCGAAGGCGCUCGGCUGGAACGCGUCCGACGGUGAGGGACGAAGGCCAGGGGAGCAAACCGGAUUAGAUACCCGGGUAGUCCUGGCUGUAAACGAUGCGGACUUUGUGUCGGACAAGCUAUGAGCUUGUCCGGUGCCGGAGGGAAACCGUUAAGUCCGCCGCCUGGGGAGUACGGCCGCAAGGCUGAAACUUAAAGGAAUUGGCGGG
rnacentral:rRNA from 1 species